rnacentral:rRNA from 1 species
GGCCGAUGGUGCUGCUCCUGAUGUUAGCGGCGGACGGGUGAGUAACACGUGGGUAACCUGCCUGUAAGACUGGGAUAACUCCGGGAAACCGGGGCUAAUACCGGAUGCUUGUUUGAACCGCAUGGUUCAAACAUAAAAGGUGGCUUCGGCUACCACUUACAGAUGGACCCGCGGCGCAUUAGCUAGUUGGUGAGGUAAUGGCUCACCAAGGCAACGAUGCGUAGCCGACCUGAGAGGGUGAUCGGCCACACUGGGACUGAGACACGGCCCAGACUCCUACGGGAGGCAGCAGUAGGGAAUCUUCCGCAAUGGACGAAAGUCUGACGGAGCAACGCCGCGUGAGUGAUGAAGGUUUUCGGAUCGUAAAGCUCUGUUGUUAGGGAAGAACAAGUACCGUUCGAAUAGGGCGGUACCUUGACGGUACCUAACCAGAAAGCCACGGCUAACUACGUGCCAGCAGCCGCGGUAAUACGUAGGUGGCAAGCGUUGUCCGGAAUUAUUGGGCGUAAAGGGCUCGCAGGCGGUUCCUUAAGUCUGAUGUGAAAGCCCCCGGCUCAACCGGGGAGGGUCAUUGGAAACUGGGGAACUUGAGUGCAGAAGAGGAGAGUGGAAUUCCACGUGUAGCGGUGAAAUGCGUAGAGAUGUGGAGGAACACCAGUGGCGAACGCGACUCUCUGGUCUGUAACUGACGCUGAGGAGCGAAAGCGUGGGGAGCGAACAGGAUUAGAUACCCUGGUAGUCCACGCCGUAAACGAUGAGUGCUAAGUGUUAGGGGGUUUCCGCCCCUUAGUGCUGCAGCUAACGCAUUAAGCACUCCGCCUGGGGGGAGUACGGUCGCAAGAACUGAAACUCAAAGGGAAUUGACGGGGGCCCGCACAGCGGUGGAGCAUGUGGUUUAAUUCGAAGGCACGCGAAGAACCUUACAAGUCCUUGAACAUUCGUCUGACAAAUCCUUAAGAGAGAGAAAUAUAGGAAACUG